rnacentral:rRNA from 1 species
UACGUAGGGUGCAAGCGUUGUCCGGAAUCAUUGGGCGUAAAGCGCGUGUAGGCGGCUCGGUAAGUCUGAUGUGAAAUCUUGGGGCUCAACCCCAAGCGGUCAUUGGAUACUGCCGAGCUAGAGUCCGGAAGAGGAGAGUGGAAUUCCUGGUGUAGCGGUGGAAUGCGCAGAUAUCAGGAGGAACACCGGUGGCGAAGGCGGUGGUCUGGGCCGGCACUGACGCUGAGGAGCGAAAGCGUGGGUAGCAAACAGG